GACGAACGCUGGCGGUGUGCUUAACACAUGCAAGUCGAACGGUAAGGCCCUUUCGGGGGUACACGAGUGGCGAACGGGUGAGUAACACGUGAGUAACCUGCCCUCAUCUCUGGGAUAACAGUCGGAAACGGUUGCUAAUACUGGAUAUGAGCUUGCAAGGCAUCUUGUGGGUUGGAAAGAUUUUUUUUGGUUGGAGAUGGACUCGCGGCCUAUCAGCUUGUUGGUGAGGUAGUGGCUCACCAAGGCUUCGACGGGUAGCCGGCCUGAGAGGGCGACCGGCCACAUUGGGACUGAGAUACGGCCCAAACUCCUACGGGAGGCAGCAGUGGGGAAUAUUGCACAAUGGACGGAAGUCUGAUGCAGCAACGCCGCGUGCGGGAUGACGGCCUUCGGGUUGUAAACCGCUUUCAAUUGUGACGAAGCUUUUUUGUGACGGUAGCAGUAGAAGAAGCACCGGCUAACUACGUG
rnacentral:rRNA from 1 species